rnacentral:snRNA from 1 species
UCGUGGUCACAAGGUCUUCGG